rnacentral:lncRNA from 1 species
GCAAAAAAAUGAGCAGUUAACUUUUGUGUUGUGUUAUAUUGUACAUGUGUUCAGACCUUGAAGGUCUGAACUAGAUAGAACAUAGAAAUAUUUUAGUUAUUCCAAUUACAAAAUGUACACCACAACUUCAUCAUCAUCGUCAUGGAGCCCACAGGUUUUGGUUGCUUAGUAACGUCAGGCACAACCUAGACUUUCCUAGACACUGUUGUAAAACUAAUGUUACCGUAGAGGACAGCUUGCAUUCAAACAUGUGCAUAUUGUAAGGAGAUGCCACCAUAUUAAUUACUAUUAAUUAACUUGUUUACUUCCAGUACUUCCCCGGAUUCAUGUAUGGUUAUGGAAUAAUUAAAUCUUAUCAGGAUCCCUGAGACUACAUCUUAUCAAAUACGGAUCCACUGUCUGAUGUGUAUCAAUUUGGGAGUCUCUUGACAUCAAAAAGGAUGAGAACCAAUGGUUUAAAUAAAGCUAAAAGGGUCAUUGUUCAGAAGGGUACACAUAAUACUGUAGUUAAUCUUAACCCUCAGUGUGUUUGAGUUUAUACCUUCAUGGUGUUCAAGGAUUCACCAUGUUUAAUCCAUGGCUUUCUUUUGCCCGUGGGUUUAAUAUAUCUUCGUGCCUGUCAAUGGGGCUAUAAACUAUACAGUCCCAGAGGCAGGCAAGAACCUUGUCCCUCCUCAAAGGAAGUUUGUCUGCUUUUGCUCCAUAAAGACCUUUACUGAUACGGGCAGUGGGUGGUACGACCAAGCCAAGCAGUCGUGUUAAAAGGGCAUUUUUGUUGCUGUAGGGUGCAGAGGGGAAGCCCCAAGGCCAUGCUUGUGAUGCUGAAGUAAGAGAUGUGUAGUAUCUCAACCUCAGGUCAAACUUAACCUUCUCUCCAAGAGCAAGUGAGCUGUCAGGAAGUCCUGGGGCUUGAUAGCUUGGUGAAGGAAAAGUUGACUGCUGUGUCUGAACUAAUUGAAGAGGAAUCUUAUUUUGGCAGAUGGGAUUCCACACAUUAGCAUGAUUAGCCAAAUGGGUUCUGGACAACAGCAACACCAUGACAACAAGUUUCUCGUGCUCUCUCACACCGAGGCAGCUGGGGAUUCAUUUGUCUUGCUGAUUAAUGAUGAGAACCAUAUCCUCCACAACACCAGUAAAUUAAAAGAGAUUGGGGACAGAGAGAAAGAACAUCAAGGUCCAUUCAUCCCAAUCAAAUUUCACAGUAAGUCCAAUUCAUCCUAAGCUUUAUUUGUAUUGUCUGCUAUACAAACACAAAAAGCUCCAGUCAUUCAGUUUCUCCUCUCAGACCCUCUCUGGCAGUCUGGGGAUUACAACUGGCAACUUUCCAGGAGCAUGCUCAUUUUUCCAGCCUUCAGGAUACAACCAUACCCAUUGCUUUACUGCUAAGAAAGCAGCAUGUCUGUUUCAGAUAGUAAUUGUUCAGCAGCAGCAGCUACGGCUUGCUGUUGCCUCCAUGUUUACUCCUCAUAUUCUCCCUGUGUUUGUUUUGGUGUUCUUCCAGUAUAAAGAAAGACAUUCAAGGUCAUUUACAGCAAGGACACUGGAGACUAGAUUUGCAAUAGUUUAGUGAUGUGUACUUUAUAUGACAUGGCUUACUGUAUAGUCUGUGGCGUAGCCUAUUGUGGUAAUAUAUUGCAGACAAGGAUAAAUAUGCAACAACUUAAGGGUUGCGUAUAUCAGACGAAUAUGAAUUCUUAUACAUGAUGACUUUCAAACAGAAAAUACAGCCAUGCUACCAGCUCUGUGAGGCUCUUACCUAAAUGCUAACGUCAGCGUGCUAACAUGCCCACAAUAAUGGGGGAUGAGCGUGUACACCAUCAUCUGAAUUGAUAUCCGUAUUCUGAACGGGCAUGGCUUGAACGAGAAGUUGGCAGAACUCAUUCGAAGUUGUUAAUGUAAAAGACCAGUAGGAUUUACUAGCACCUAGCGGUAUAGUUGCAACUCUCUCACUUCACCCUCCCCUUCCAAGCACAAAGGAGAAACUACGGUGGCCGUGAAACAUGUGAAAACGGCCCCAUCUAGAGCCAGUGUUUAGUUUGUUCAUCUGGGCUAUUGUAGAAACAUCUUUAUUCUUCAUUCUAUUUUCUUGGACUCAUUGGUAUCGCAAAAUAUUGUAGACUCUCAAUGGAGUCCAUCAAUAUAUGUUUUUUUGUAACUUCCUCCUUCAAAACAAACCCACUGAUAGACCCCAACUGGUCGAGGCAGACGGCCACCCACAUAGAGUCGGGGUCUGUCCAAGGUUUCUGCCUCUUUUAUCAUUUAUUUCUGUAACAUGUUCCCACGUUUCAGCUGUUUAAAUAACUGUUUAUGAUCAGUUUUUUGUUGUUAUUGUAUCAUUGUCUUUAGUGGUAAUGUUUUUAGGCAGCUUUUAUAUCAUUUCCUUCCCUGCUGUAUCAUAUUACUGCAGCUGUUGCAACAAGCUAUUUCCCGGCAUUAGGAAUCAAUAACUUUUCAUCUUAUUGCAUUUGUUGGACGUACUGACUGCUCAACUCCCAGCAGGACCAUGCAGUGUGUGGACGGUGUUUGUACAUUGUUCGGGGACUCAAUCAGGCCCUAAAUUUUUCAUUUAUCCUCAGAACGUUUGGCAGCUUCCCAAAAGGUAUAAGAUAUCUGAAGUGACUGGCGUCCGGAGGAAAUAGAAAGGAGUUCUGAAAAGCACUCAGGUCACAUCUCUCUAAUUAAUGCUGCCUCCCUCUGCUGUUUUAAAAUCAACGGUAGUUUCCAUCUCUUUUUCUGGGGCGCUUUCAUUUCUGCUCUCUGUUUUACCUGCCACUGCCUUCAAAGUCACUAGAGCCUUAUCUCGGAUCAAAAGAUGAGGACUUACAUG